rnacentral:tRNA from 1 species
GUCUGGUUGGCGAAGGCGUUGUACCAGGCCUUGAUCCCGGUGGCCAUCUCGUUGAGGGUGCGGCCGGGGUGCGAGACCUUGUCCCAACUCCA